rnacentral:rRNA from 1 species
GACGAACGCUGGCGGCGUGCCUAAUACAUGCAAGUCGAGCGCUUCUUUCCUCCCGAGUGCUUGCACUCAAUUGGAAAGAGGAGUGGCGGACGGGUGAGUAACACGUGGGUAACCUACCCAUCAGAGGGGGAUUACACUUGGAAUCAGGUGCUAAUACCGCAUAACAGUUUAUGCCGCAUGGCAUAAGAGUGAAAGGCGCUUUCGGGUGUCGCUGAUGGAUGGACCCGCGGUGCAUUAGCUAGUUGGUGAGGUAACGGCUCACCAAGGCCACGAUGCAUAGCCGACCUGAGAGGGUGAUCGGCCACACUGGGACUGAGACACGGCCCAGACUCCUACGGGAGGCAGCAGUAGGGAAUCUUCGGCAAUGGACGAAAGUCUGACCGAGCAACGCCGCGUGAGUGAAGAAGGUUUUCGGAUCGUAAAACUCUGUUGUUAGAGAAGAACAAGGACGUUAGUAACUGAACGUCCCCUGACGGUAUCUAACCAGAAAGCCACGGCUAACUACGUG